rnacentral:rRNA from 1 species
AAUGAACGUUGGCGGCGUGGAUUAGGCAUGCAAGUCGAGCGAGAACCCCGCAAGGGGGGACAGCGGCGCAAGGGACAGUAAUGUGUAGAUCAUCUGCCCUCAGGUCCGGGAUAGCUGCGGGAAACUGCAGGUAAUACCGGAUAACAUCUCCGGAUCAAAGGUGUGAUUCCGCCUGAGGAUGAGUCUGCAUCCUAUUAGCUAGUUGGCAGGGUAACGGCCUACCAAGGCAUUGAUGGGCAGCGGGUGUGAGAGCACGACCCGCGUCAUUGGGACUGAGAGACUGCCCAGGCACCUACGGGUGGCUGCAGUCGAGAAUCUUCGGCAAUGGGCGCAAGCCUGACCGAGCGACGCCGCGUGUGGGAUGAAGGCCUUCGGGUUGUAAACCACUGUCAGAGGGGAUGAAAUGCAGGUGGGUUCUCCCAUCUGUUUGACAUAGCCUCAGAGGAAGGACGGGCUAAGUUCGUGCCAGCAGCCGCCGUAA